AGGCUUAACACAUGCAAGUCGAGCGCCCCGCAGGGGAGCGGCAGACGGGUGAGUAACACGUGGGAAUCUACCCAUCCCUACGGAACAACUCCGGGAAACUGGAGCUAAUACCGUAUACGCCCUUCGGGGGAAAGAUUUAUCGGGGAUGGAUGAGCCCGCGUUGGAUUAGCUAGUUGGUGGGGUAAAGGCCUACCAAGGCGACGAUCCAUAGCUGGUCUGAGGGGAUGAUCAGCCACAUUGGGACUGAGACACGGCCCAAACUCCUACGGGAGGCAGCAGUGGGGAAUAUUGGACAAUGGGCGCAAGCCUGAUCCAGCCAUGCCGCGUGAGUGAUGAAGGCCUUAGGGUUGUAAAGCUCUUUCACCAA
rnacentral:rRNA from 1 species